GACGAACGCUGGCGGCGUGCCUAACACAUGCAAGUCGUGCGAGAAAGUUCCUUCGGGAGCGAGUAAAGCGGCGCACGGGUGAGUAACACGUAGGUAACCUGCCCCCCAGUCUGGAACAACUAGAGGAAACUCUAGCUAAUGCCGGAUGAGACCACGACCCCCUUCGGGGGUUGCGGCCAAAGAUGGCCUCUACUUGUAAGCUAUCGCUGAGGGAUGGGCCUGCGGGCCAUUAGCUUGUUGGUGAGGUAACGGCUCACCAAGGCUGUGAUGGCUAGCUGGUCUGAGAGGAUGACCAGCCACACUGGGACUGAGACACGGCCCAGACUCCUACGGGAGGCAGCAGUGGGAAUAUUGCGCAAUGGGCGAAGCCUGACGCAGCGACGCCGCGUGGGUGAUGAAGGCCUUCGGGU
rnacentral:rRNA from 1 species